CUGCUCAGUAAUACUCACUUUAUUUUAUGUGCACCGCAGAUAACUACGUUAAAGUGUAGAUAACAUGUGUACAGUAAGAGUGAGACCUAUCAGCUAGUUGUUAGGGUAAUGGCUUAACAAGGCAGUGACGGGUAACGGUAUUACUUUGUAAUAUUCCGGAGAAGGAGCCUGAGAGACGGCUACUAAGUCUAAGGAUUGCAGCAGGGGCGAAACUUGACCUAUGGAUUUUAUCUGAGGCAGUUAUGGGAAGUAAUAUAUUAUUGUUUCAUAUUUUAAAAAUAU
rnacentral:rRNA from 1 species